UACGUAGGGGGCUAGCGUUGUCCGGAAUCAUUGGGCGUAAAGAGCGUGUAGGCGGCUUGGUAAGUCCGCUGUGAAAGUCCAGGGCUCAACCCUGGAAAGCCAGUGGAAACUGUCAAGCUAGAGUCCGGAAGAGGCGAGUGGAACUCCUGGUGUAGCGGUGAAAUGCGCAGAUAUCAGGAAGAACACCAAUGGCGAAGGCAGCUCGCUGGGACGGUACUGACGCUGAGGCACGAAAGUGUGGGGAUCAAACAGG
rnacentral:rRNA from 1 species